CGGCAGCACGAGAGAGCUUGCUCUCUUGGUGGCGAGUGGCGGACGGGUGAGUAAUAUAUCGGAACGUGCCCAGUAGCGGGGGAUAACUACUCGAAAGAGUGGCUAAUACCGCAUACGCCCUACGGGGGAAAGGGGGGGAUCGCAAGACCUCUCACUAUUGGAGCGGCCGAUAUCGGAUUAGCUAGUUGGUGGGGUAAAGGCUCACCAAGGCAACGAUCCCUAGCUGGUUUGAGAGGACGAACAGCCACACUGGGACUGAGACACGGCCCAUACUCCUACGGGAGGCAGCAGUGGGGAAUUUUGGACAAUGGGGGAAACCCUGAUCCAACCAUCCCGCGUGUAUGAUGAAGGCCUUCGGGUUGUAAAGUACUUUUGGCAGAGAAGAAAAGGCAUCCCCUAAUACCGGAUGCUGCUGACGGUAUCUGCAGAAUAAGCACCGGCUAACUACGUGCCAGCAGCCGCGGUAAUACGUAAGGUGCAAGCGUUAAUCGGAAUUACUGGGCGUAAAGCGUG
rnacentral:rRNA from 1 species